AAUAGAUACCCUGGUAGUCCACCCCGUAAACGUUGGGAACUAGUUGUGGGGUCCAUUCCACGGAUUCCGUGACGCAGCUAACGCAUUAAGUUCCCCGCCUGGGGAGUACGGCCGCAAGGCUAAAACUCAAAGGAAUUGACGGGGACCCGCACAAGCGGCGGAGCAUGCGGAUUAAUUCGAUGCAACGCGAAGAACCUUACCAAGGCUUGACAUAUACGAGAACGGGCCAGAAAUGGUCAACUCUUUGGACACUCGUAAACAGGUGGUGCAUGGUUGUCGUCAGCUCGUGUCGUGAGAUGUUGGGUUAAGUCCCGCAACGAGCGCAACCCUCGUUCUAUGUUGCCAGCACGUAAUGGUGGGAACUCAUGGGAUACUGCCGGGGUCAACUCGGAGGAAGGUGGGGAUGACGUCAAAUCAUCAUGCCCCUUAUGUCUUGGGCUUCACGCAUGCUACAAUGGCCGGUACAAAGGGCUGCAAUACCGCGAGGUGGAGCGAAUCCCAAAAAGCCGGUCCCAGUUCGGAUUGAGGUCUGCAACUCGACCUC
rnacentral:rRNA from 1 species